AAAAGCACUUUGAAAAGAGAGUGCAAGAGAACGUGAAAUCGAUAUAAUGGAAGCGAAUGAAGUCGGCGUAUCUAACGUGUAUUCAGUUGUUCGAAUUGAGGCAAUCGCUGGAUUCGGCAUUCCGCAAGGUUGUCGUUUUUGGUGUUGUUGUUUUGUUCGGCGACGCAUUUGCGCGUAGAGUGCGACGGGUCAGUUGGUGCCGUUGGUGGAAGCCGUCGGAGAGGGCGCGCAGUUUCGGCUGUGCGAAACCUACGAUUGGUGGAGACUCGAUUGGUGCUGAUUGAUUAAAUGUUGACGAAGGAGAAUUCGGUUUUGUUGUUAGGGUUUGUUUGAUUUUGUGCUGGACGCAUGCGUACGGUGCUUGAUUGGGCGAACGUUGAUGGCGAGACACCUACGUUAAUCCGGUCGUAUAGCCGGUCACUCAUUCGACCCGUCUUGAAACACGGACCAAGGAGUUUAUAGUACACGCGAGUCAUUGAGUGUUCAAAGCUCAAAGGCGUAAUGAAAGUGAAACUGCGAACAGUUUGAACGUGAUCGGUGAAUAGCGCAAGCUUGUUCGCCGAGCAACGUUACCCCAUUCCUUGAACUUGUUCUGGUGUGGAGGUUGAGCGUGUGCAAUGAGACCCGAAAGAUGGUGAACUAUGCCUGAACAGGACGAAGCCAGAGGAAACUCUGGUGGAAGUCCGAAGCGGUUCUGACGUGCAAAUCGAUCGUCUGAUUUUGGUAUAGGGGCGAAAGACUAAUCGAACCAUCUAGUAGCUGGUUCCUCUCGAAGUUUCCCUCAGGAUAGCUGGUGCAUUUCAAACAGAUAUACUCGGUAAAGCGAACGAUUAGAGUCCUUGGGAUUUAACUUAUCUCAAACUAUUCUCAAACUCUAAAUGGUUAUGAUGUCGGUGUUUCUUGAAUUUUCGAUGAACGCUCGGCUUUGAUUGUAAUGCACCAAGUGGGCCAUUUUUGGUAAGCAGAACUGGCGAUGUGGGAUGAACCAGAAGCGGUGUUAAAGUGCCCGAAUUCCCGCUCAUGAGACCCCAGAAAAGGUGUUGGUUGAUAUAGACAGCAGGACGGUGGCCAUGGAAGUCGGAAACCGCUAAGGAAUGUGUA
rnacentral:rRNA from 1 species